UGCGGCGUCCCCUCACCGCCUCCCGCCCCGUUUCCCCCCAGCUCCGCUCCUGCGGCGUCCCCUCACCGCCUCCUGCCCCGUUUCCCCCCAGCUCCGCUCCUGCGGCGUCCCCUCACCGGCUCCCGCCCGGGCUCCCGCCGGUCGCGGGGGACCCGCCAAGCUCGCCUUCUCGCCCUGCCCGCCGCACUGUCCCUCAGGAAGGGUCGCCAUUCCCCUGGCAGCGGUGUGUUUCCACAUGUUAACGCUUAGGGAGAGAAGUACUUCUCCCGUGAGACCGUGAGUCCGUCCCAUGGGAGACAGUUCUCUCUGAACUUCUCCAGCGUGGCUCCAAAUCUCAGGAGCAGCAGUCCUCCCAAAGCUGCUGCAACCUUCACCCAGAAUGCAUCACAAACCAAUCUGGCCAAAAACCCUGGUUGGAGAACAUGGUAAAGAAGGGAUUUCCUCUUGUGUCAUAAGGUCAAGGCAGGGCAGAGCCAUAAACUGGGAAAUUAUUAAAUGAAAAGUUCUUGUUGUCUAUUAGCAUGUAGUAAAGAUAGCACUUUAAUUUUCAUUCCAGUAAUUGCUUUCAGCUUCUUAGGGAUUAAAUUAAUUAAACUCCAAUAAAUUAGCAUUCUACUUUGCAUUUCUCUAUAUAAUCUUUAAUCAAAAUAUAACUAGAAAAUGGCACACACAAUAAUGUCUCCAUAUAUCUACAUGUGUUCAUUAGAUUCAGCACAGCUAAAAAUCUGUUUUAGAAGUACAUCUCAUAAGAUUAAACACUACUUCAAUAUUUGUACUUUUUAUUGCAAUUGCUCUUGUGAUGUAGUCCAAAAGAAUGAAUCAUAAAGCUAAUCCUCACACAAAGCAAACAGAAGAGACUUGACCAUUCUUAAUUUGAUAUUUUUGAUUUGCAUGCAGAAACCCUCCAUUUCUUCUCAGAUCACAACUGUACCAAAGGUGCUCUUAGAGAGCCAAGCUGACACUUCUGUCCUGUAAAGAGGAACCACCUCAAGUGAGAUUGGAUAAAGCUGUUUAUAUGUUAAACUUCUUGUGCCCUUUACCUGAUCCGCAGUUGUCUCCUAUAAUUUUUCUUCUUUAAAUUCUAAACGGCCAAAUUUUCAUAAGGAUGUUAAGGUAUGGGUUAAGGAUUUAAUUACUAGAAUGUGGAUUAUCCCAGCAGAGUUAAUACCAUGGAGAAGAGAGAUAUGUUCAUGAUUUGACAGAGAAUGGCCAUCAUGGGGUUGCUGUUUGCUGUGUUCAGCUGUAUGUGGAGCACACCAGAAGGAAGAGGAUGGAUAGUCCCAUAACUGAAGCAGAAUGCGUAGGAGACACCAGGUGGACUGAAGCACGAAUGCUUAAAGAACACACUGUGAAGAUGAUCACUCAGGGCAAAAUAAAUGGGGAUUUUGACUCAGGAUGAAAACUCAAAUUUAAAUUGGUGGAUGCUACCUUUACUUUGGGUUUUUGCUGUCCUCCACAGAGAGAUUGGCAGUACUGAAUAAUGUGUCUUCUACCAUUUCCCUUAAUAUAGCAUUUACUGCCCAAAACAGAGGAACUUAAUGUUCCUAGAGGAGAGGUAUUGCUUUUGCAUAAGGGUGUUGAAUUAGUAGCUGAAAGUCCACGCCUUAAGCAGCUAGGUUGGUUGCCCAUUAUGAUAGCAGUGGCCAGUUGUAAAGUUAAGUGGAUGCUGCUUAGUUAAGUUCCAGUCUAGGUGACUGGACAGAUGACUUGGUCUUUUAGCCACAAAAUGUAACUCUAUAUGGAGAAAAAUUUAUUCAACUAAAAGUGAAGGUAUCAUUCUGCCACAGAUGUGUCAUCAAGGGAUUGUAGAGUCUGUAACAGUAUUUGAAAAUCCAUCUUUUAUGUGCUUUGUAUGUACCUUUCUUAUUGUUAGUGCAUGGUUAUGGAUGCCAGGAUUUUGAGAGUAUGUAUUGUAAAGACUUGCUAGAUCGCAUUUGGGUCAGUUUACAGGAAUAUUUUAAGUUUGAAGAUGAGAAUAAUUGAAUGGCUUUUUUGUAAGUCGAAGUAUUGUCCCUCUGCUGUCUGCUUGGAUUUUUGCAAGGGCGUUCUUGGUUCAAAUAAAAAAAAAAAUAGCCUUCUGAAAUGUAGUGUGUCUAUUCAUAUGUCGUGCCUGCCUCAACAGUGACACUGUCCAGUCAUUUUCUUUCCCAAUUGGCUACCCCAGGUUUGAGUGAAACUAUGUCCUUUUGAAAGAUUUAUUCUUUGUUCUGCUUCACAUAAUCCAGAAGAAUCAGCAGCUUUUGGAAGUGAAUAACCACUAGUACCUCCAUGUCAUACCCAGGUAAUUUUGUGCAGCACUAAUUUUUCAUUCAUGAUGCUUUUUGUAUUAGUUGCAAAACACAAGGCAUAAGCUGUUGUGUCCUUCUGACUUACAGUUUUUUUCUUAUGCAGAUGAUCACCUGCUAUAUGUUGGGAGAUUUUUAUAAUGUACCCUAGCCAUAUAUUUCAAAUAAGAGCCUGUUCAUUUAAUAUUAAAAUAACCAGAUUAAUAAAGCAGUAUUUGAAGCAUUUGGAAAUAAAGAUAUUUCAAUUGUUCUCUAUGUAUGAAUGCUACAUUCCAAUUUAAUUAAAUUUUCAACAAUAAUGCUGUUAUUGAUUUGG